CCUACGGGAGGCAGCAGUGAGGAAUAUUGGUCAAUGGGGGAAACCCUGAUGCAGCGACGCCGCGUGUGGGAAGACGGUCUUCUGGAUUGUAAACCACUGUCCCCAGGGACGAAAAUGACGGUACCUGGGGAGGAAGCUCCGGCUAACUACGUGCCAGCAGCCGCGGUAAUACGUAGGGAGCAAGCGUUGUCCGGAAUUACUGGGUGUAAAGGGAGCGUAGGCGGGGAUGCAAGUUGGGGGUCAAAACUACCGGCUCAACCGAUAGUCGCACUCAAAACUGCAACUCUUGAGUGAAGUAGAGGCAGGCGGAAUUCCUAGUGUAGCGGUGAAAUGCGUAGAUAUUAGGAGGAACACCAGUGGCGAAGGCGGCCUGCUGGGCUUUUACUGACGCUGAGGCUCGAAAGUGUGGGGAGCAAACAGGAUUAGAUACCCCUGUAGUC
rnacentral:rRNA from 1 species